rnacentral:ncRNA from 1 species
CAACGAACAUUAAAAAUUAUUCCCCUGUAGCUCAACGGUAGAGCAGAUUCCUGUCCAAUGGCAGCUCCCGAUAGUAAUAUCGGGAUGAAAAUCGGGCUAAUUCGGGGAACACCCGCAGAUGAUGCGGGUCAAUCCCGAGCUAAAUCCCCGCCUUUGGCGGGGUAAAUGUGUAGAGACUAUAUACCCGAUGCCGACUUAGUCGGUAAUGAGAUAGUCCAGGCCUUUUGGUAACAAGAGG